rnacentral:lncRNA from 1 species
GAAACACACUGAUCCUACAUUUGGAAUAUGGAGACACAGAAAGGUUUUGGUUUCAAAGGUAGCCAAGGCAGAAUUACCAGGACCCUACUUAAAGGUUUCACUGUGAGGAAACCAACCUUAAAGAAAAAACUCUCCCUUAAACUGAUAUCAAGCCAUUGUCAAGUGCAUUGUUUUAUCUCUUUAAUGUCUCACGAAACCAUCAACUUCUCUCCAAAUUCAAGAAAACCAUCACCUGUCUGGAAUACUUAAAUGACCUUUUAAUAAUCCAAAUGUGUUUUUCUAACAUGUCCUCCUGCUAAUCUCUACAUUUGAGCCAAUGUCAUCUUGGCAAAAUGCCAGAUUGCUGAUGUCACUACUGCUCAGACCCAUCACAGCAUCUCCACUUAAACUCUCAAACAGCUUCGAAUGACUCUUAUAAGGAAAAUCAAAAGCCUUAGGCCCUCAUAUUCAAUAAUAUUCUACACAAA